UUAAUUGAGGAUUUGAUCCUGGUCCAGGAUGAACGCUGGCGGCGUGGAUAAGGCAUGCAAGUCGUACGAUCUUUCAUUUUUCGCAAGAAGGAUGAAAGGUAGUGGCGAACGGGUUAGUAACGCCUUGGUACGUACCUCCGAGAUGAGCAUAGCCAUCCGAAAGGGUGGGUAAUACUCAAUGGCCCCCGAGGACGCAAGUCUGAGGGGUAAAGAAGCAAUUCGCUUGGAGAGCGGCCUAGGUCCGAUCAGCUUGUUGGUGAGGUAAUGGCUCACCAAGGCGACGACCGGUAGGGGGAGUGAGAGCUCGAUCCCCAACAUUGGCACUGACACACUGGCCAAACACCUACGGGUGGCUGCAGUCGAGAAUAUUGGGCAAUGCGCGAAAGCGUGACCCAGCGACGCCGCGUGCAGGAUGAAGGCCUUCGGGUUGUAAACUGCUUUUCUGUUCGAAAAAGUACCGAUGGUAACGUCGGCAUUGAUACCAGAAUGGGAAUAAGGGGUGGCUAACUUCGUGCCAGCAGCAGCGGUAAUACGAAGACCCCGAGCGUUAUCCGAAUUUAUUGGGCGUAAAGCGCGCGUAGAGGGUCCGGCGCCGUCCUCUGUUAAAUCUCGCGGCUCAACCGCGGGGCUGCAGGGGAUACGGUCGGACUAGAGGACGUCAGAGGCCAGUGGAACGCACGGUGUAGGGGUGACAUCCGUUGAUAUCGUGCGGAACACCAAAGGCGAAGGCAUCUGGCUGGGGCGUUCCUGACCUUGAAGUGCGAAAGCGUGGGGAGAGAAUGGGAUUAGAUACCCCAGUAUUCCACGCCGUAAACGAUGUUCACUAGCUGUUUCGAGUAUCGACCCUCGGAGUGGCGAAGCUAACGCGUUAAGUGAACCGCCUGGGAAGUACGGCCGCAAGGCUAAAACUCAAAGGAAUAGACGGGGGCUCGCACAAGCGGUGGAGCAUGUGGUUCAAUUCGAUGGUAAACGAGAAACCUUACCAGGGCUUGACAUUCCGGCGACGGUUUCCCGAAAGGGAUUCCUUCCUGACGCAAGUCGGGACGGCGGAACAGGUGCUGCAUGGCUGCCGUCAGCUCGUGUUGUGAAACGUUCCCUUAAGUGGGGUAACGAGCGCAACCCUCGCUCUCUGUUACAAGUGUCAGAGAGGACUGCCAUCCUAUAGAUGGAGGAAGGUGGGGAUGACGUCAAGUCAGCAUGGCCCUUAUGUCCUGGGCUACACACAUGCUACAAUGGUCGGCACAAUGGGCCGCGAAGCCGUAAGGCGGAGCGAAUCCCACAAAGCCGACCCCAGUUCAGAUUGAGGGCUGCAACUUGCCCUCAUGAAGUCGGAAUCGCUAGUAAUCGCGGAUCAGCAUGCCGCGGUGAAUACGUUCUCGAGCCUUGUACUCACCGCCUGUCAAACCAAGGGAGCCGGGAGUACCUGAAGCUCCGUUGAGGGGCAAGGGUAAGUUCGGUAACACGGGUUAAGUCAUAACAAGGCACGGGUAGGGGAACCUGCUCGUGAACAAAUUACACU
rfam:Candidatus Jorgensenbacteria bacterium GWA1_54_12 gwa1_scaffold_1365, whole genome shotgun sequence.